rnacentral:lncRNA from 1 species
GCCACACAAAUACAGUAACUAUUUUUGUUAUACAGAAAUGGGAGCCAAAAUAAAUUAAUACUAGAAAACAGAAAUUUAAUUAGGCAGAAAAUAGGAAAUAAUUUUCACUAACCCAUGCCAUUUACAUGAGUUAAUAACAAUAGUGCUGAUAAAUGCCUUGACCAUAUAAUAGCACAGGAGGGCAAAACAUUUAGUGCACAGUAUUUUAAUACACAUGAAUAUACAAAGUUGAUCAAAACACAAUGUUCAAAGAUAAAAUCCAUCUGUAAUAAAGCUACAAUCCAAUAUCUAAAAUAAGCCCUAACUGCCAGUUAGAACAUAGCUCCUUGUUAGGCAUGCCCAUAAAAUUAAGGAUAUUCAUGAAAAUAAAUGUAUAGGGACCAUUUCUGUCAUUUUUUUCCAUUUCAUCUUAAAACUAAAAUAUACCAAGCCAUAAAAUGAAGUAUGACUGGCUUUCUAUUCAAACCCACAGCCUGAUAAUGUUCCUUGAUCUCUUCACACCAGUCCACUUGGUAUUGCCUUGGAAUGGAAGAUGCAUCAAGAUAAGAGCACUGGAUGUCAGCAUUUUAUCAAAAUUUGCUUUUAAACAAAAGACUUUAGCAUACUGUACCAUAAUCUAGACAUGAAACUACUAAGUAACCAAUAAAGCAAAUAUUUAUUUUUUCAAGUGUAAAACACUGUAACUUAUCUUAAACACCCAGCAGUUAGAGAAACACAGCAGGCCUACUAACUCCUGCUGGAAAGACACACAAAACCCUGGCCAUUGGAGGGAGUACUGCUGAGCCUUUGUGCUAUCACUGUGAGUGUGGAAUGGCCUUGCAUACUCCACAGGAUUCUCUGCUUUAUGCUAGGAAUGGGAACCGAAAGUAACAAAGUGUGUCCAUGCUAUUGUCUUUACAUAAAGAAAAAUGAUUGGGGGGAAAAUGUAGCUGCCUAGAGUUUUUUUUUAAUCCAAGAGGAAGAGGUGAGAAAUUACCAAAUAGCUCUAAAUUUUUUAAAGCUGAUGGAGUGUUGAUAGAGAAAUGUGUUUUAAUCUUUUCUAAUCUUCUCUUCUUGCAUCACAUAACUAUUUGAAUGUCUGUGCAAUAUUCUCCAUAUUUAUUUUUUAUUCCAAAAACUCUAUCCAUUUUUUU